rnacentral:rRNA from 1 species
GAUGAACGCUGGCGGCGUGCUUAACACAUGCAAGUCGAACGGUGAACGAGGGAGCUUGCUCCCUCCGGAUCAGUGGCGAACGGGUGAGUAACACGUGAGCAAUCUGCCCUGGACUCUGGGAUAAGCGUUGGAAACGACGUCUAAUACCGGAUACGAGGCGUGGGGGCAUCCCCAACGCCUGGAAAGAACUUCGGUCCAGGAUGAGCUCGCGGCCUAUCAGGUAGUUGGUGAGGUAAUGGCUCACCAAGCCUACGACGGGUAGCCGGCCUGGGAGGGUGACCGGCAACACUGGGACUGAGAAACGGCCCAGACUCCUACGGGAGGCAGCAGUGGGGAAUAUUGCACAAUGGGCGCAAGCCUGAUGCAGCAACGCCGCGUGAGGGACGACGGCCUUCGGGUUGUAAACCUCUUUUAGCAGGGAAGAAGCGAAAGUGACGGUACCUGCAGAAAAAGCACCGGCUAACUACGUGCCAGCAGCCGCCGUAAGAC